rnacentral:rRNA from 1 species
AUUGAACGCUGGCGGCAUGCCUUACACAUGCAAGUCGAACGGCAACAGGGAGCUUGCUCCGCUGACGAGUGGCGAACGGGUGAGUAAUGCGUCGGAACGUGCCGAGUAGUGGGGGAUAACGCAUCGAAAGGUGUGCUAAUACCGCAUACGAACUGAGGUUGAAAGUGGGGGACCUUCGGGCCUCACGCUAUUCGAGCGGCCGACGUCUGAUUAGCUAGUUGGUGAGGUAAAGGCACACCAAGGCGACGAUCAGUAGCGGGUCUGAGAGGAUGGUCCGCCACACUGGGACGGAGACACGGCCCAGACUCCUACGGGAGGCAGCAGUGGGGAAUUUUGGACAAUGGGCGCAAGCCUGAUCCAGCCAUGCCGCGUGUCUGAAGAAGGCCUUCGGGUUGUAAAGGACUUUUGUCCGGGAGCAAAUGCUGGUGGCUAACAUCCACCGGAGCUGAGAGUACCGGAAGAAUAAGCACCGGCUAACUACGUGCCAGCCGCCGCUGUAAAAC